rnacentral:rRNA from 1 species
GAUGAACGCUGGCGGCGUGCCUAACACAUGCAAGUCGAACGGUUAAGCCACCUUCGGGUGGGCAUACAGUGGCGAACGGGUGAGUAACACGUGACCAACCUGCCCCUUGCUCCGGGACAACCUCGGGAAACCGAGGCUAAUACCGGAUGCUCCGGCCCCUCCGCAUGGAGGGGCCGGGAAAGCCUCGAGCGGCAAGGGAUGGGGUCGCGGCCCAUCAGGUAGACGGCGGGGUAGCGGCCCACCGUGCUUUCGACGGGUAGCCGGGUUGAGAGACCGACCGGCCACAUUGGGACUGAGAUACGGCCCAGACUCCUACGGGAGGCAGCAGUGGGGAAUUUUGCGCAAUGGGGGCAACCCUGACGCAGCAACGCCGCGUGCGGGACGACGGCCUUCGGGUUGUAAACCGCUUUCAGCAGGGA